rnacentral:rRNA from 1 species
GAUGAACGCUGGCGGCGUACCUAAUACAUGCAAGUCGAGCGAACAGACGAGGAGCUUGCUCCUCUGACGUUAGCGGCGGACGGGUGAGUAACACGUGGAUAACCUACCUAUAAGACUGGGAUAACUUCGGGAAACCGGAGCUAAUACCGGAUAAUAUAUUGAACCGCAUGGUUCAAUAGUGAAAGACGGUUUUGCUGUCACUGAUAGAUGGAUCCGCGCCGCAUUAGCUAGUUGGUAAGGUAACGGCUUACCAAGGCGACGAUGCGUAGCCGACCUGAGAGGGUGAUCGGCCACACUGGAACUGAGACACGGUCCAGAGUCCUACGGGAGGCAGCAGUAGGGAAUCGUCCGCAAUGGGCGAAAGCCUGACGGAGCAACGCCGCGUGAGUGAUGAAGGUCUUCGGAUCGUAAAACUCUGUUAUUGGGGAAGAACAAAUGUGUAAGUAACUAUGCACGUCUUGACGGUACCUAAUAAGAAAGCCACGGCUAACUACGUG